CCUCACUUCACCGCCAUGUUGCAAAAUCGAGAUCCGCGAUCCCAUCAUGCCACGCAGCUUCGUCAUAUGACAGCGCCGUCGCGCCGACCAAUAGUGGCCAGCGACGCAUGCGCGCCGAGCGCUUUCGCGACCCAACUGCCGCCAAUGCGGAGCUCGCGCAGCGUUCGAAUGCCGUCGUUCCUCGCAAAGGAGAAAUUCGUCACAGGCUCGAGGAACGACGCGCGAUAUUUUGCGGCAUCGUAUCGCGCUGCUCUGGACAAAGAUUGCGCCUGCCAUGCGUUUACACAAACCUCCUUCCUUAAAUACAAAAUGCAAUGUCGGUAUGGAGGAGAUUGCCGGGAGAAUUUCGUCUAUAUCUUCUUUCAUGUGUGAUAUGUGAAGCGCGCGGCGGAGACGAGUCGACCAGAAGAGUCCGCGACGACAUGAAGUGGUCCCGCAAUCUCGCUCGCGGAAAGAUUCGGUUCAUC